rnacentral:rRNA from 1 species
AUUGAACGCUGGCGGCAGGCCUAACACAUGCAAGUCGAGCGGAUGAGAGGAGCUUGCUUCUCGGUUCAGCGGCGGACGGGUGAGUAAUGCCUAGGAAUCUGCCUGGUAGUGGGGGACAACGCUUCGAAAGGAACGCUAAUACCGCAUACGUCCUACGGGAGAAAGCAGGGGACCUUCGGGCCUUGCGCUAUCAGAUGAGCCUAGGUCGGAUUAGCUAGUUGGUGAGGUAGUGGCGCACCAAGGCGACGAACCGUAACUGGUCUGAGAGGCAUGAUCAGUCACACUGGAACUGAGACACGGUCCAGACUCCUACGGGAGGCAGCAGUGGGGAAUAUUGGACAGUGGGCGAAAGCCUGAUCCAGCCAUGCCGCGUGUGUGAAGAAGGUCUUCGGAUUGUAAAGCACUUUAAGUUGGGAGGAAGGGUUGUAGAUUAAUACUCUGCAAUUUUGACGUUACCGACAGAAUAAGCACCGGCUAACUCUGUGCCAGCCGCCGCGGUAAAAC